UACGAGAGGCCCAAACGUUAUUCGGAAUUACUGGGCGUAAAGAGCUCGUAGGCGGUCUGUUGCGUCGGCUGUGAAAACCCGGGGCUCAACCCCGGGCCUGCAGCCGAUACGGGCAGACUAGAGUUCGGCAGGGGAGACUGGAAUUCCUGGUGUAGCGGUGAAAUGCGCAGAUAUCAGGAGGAACACCGGUGGCGAAGGCGGGUCUCUGGGCCGAUACUGACGCUGAGGAGCGAAAGCGUGGGGAGCGAACAGG
rnacentral:rRNA from 1 species